rnacentral:rRNA from 1 species
UACGUAGGGGGCUAGCGUUGUCCGGAUUUAUUGGGCGUAAAGAGCGUGUAGGCGGUCAGGUAGGUCUGCUGUGAAAACUCGAGGCUCAACCUCGAGACGUCGGCGGAAACCAUCUGGCUAGAGUCCGGAAGAGGAGAGUGGAAUUCCUGGUGUAGCGGUGAAAUGCGCAGAUAUCAGCAAGAACACCCGUGGCGAAGGCGGCUCUCUGGGACGGUACUGACGCUGAGACGCGAAAGCGUGGGGAGCGAACAGG